GCUACACAUGCAAGUCGAACGAACUCGACCUUCGGGUCAUAGAGUGAGUGGCGAACGGGUGAGUAACACGUGAGAAACCUGCCCCGAAGACUGGAACAACCCGAGGAAACUCGGGCUAAUACCGGAUAUCCCCAUCGGAUCGCAUGAUCUGGUGAGGAAAUGCUCCGGCGCUUCGGGAGGGUCUCGCGGCCUAUCAGCUAGUUGGUGAGGUAACGGCUCACCAAGGCAACGACGGGUAGCUGGUCUGAGAGGACGAUCAGCCACACUGGGACUGAGACACGGCCCAGACUCCUACGGGAGGCAGCAGUGGGGAAUAUUGCGCAAUGGGCGAAAGCCUGACGCAGCCACGCCGCGUGAGGGAUGAAGGCUCUAGGGUUGUAAACCUCUUUAGGCAGGGAAGAAAAUGACGGUACCUGCAGAAUAAGGUCCGGCCAACUAUGUGCCAGCAGCCGCGGUAAUACAUAGGGACCGAGCGUUGUCCGGAUUUAUUGGGCGUAAAGAGCUCGUAGGCGGUUCGGUAAGUCAGGUGUGAAAGCUCGAGGCUCAACCUCGAGAUGCCACCUGAUACUGCUGUGACUUGAGUCCGGUAGAGGAGUGUGGAAUUCCUGGUGUAGCGGUGAAAUGCGCAGAUAUCAGGAGGAACACCAAUUGCGAAGGCAGCACUCUGGGCCGGUACUGACGCUGAGGAGCGAAAGCGUGGGGAGCGAACAGGAUUAGAUACCCUGGUAGUCCACGCCGUAAACGUUGGGCACUAGGUGUGGGAUCGAAUUAACCGAUUCCGUACCGUAGCUAACGCAUUAAGUGCCCCGCCUGGGGAGUACGGCCGCAAGGCUAAAACUCAAGGAAUUGACGGGGCC
rnacentral:rRNA from 1 species